rnacentral:rRNA from 1 species
AUUGAACGCUGGCGGAAUGCUUUACACAUGCAAGUCGAACGGCAGCACGGACUUCGGUCUGGUGGCGAGUGGCGAACGGGUGAGUAAUGUAUCGGAACGUGCCCAGUCGUGAGGGAUAACGUAGUGAAAAUUACGCUAAUACCGCAUACGAUCUAUGGAUGAAAGCGGGGGAUCGCAAGACCUCGCGCGAUUGGAGCGGCCGAUAUCAGAGUAGGUAGUUGGUGGGGUAAAGGCCCACCAAGCCAACGAUCUGUAGCUGGUCGGAGAGGACGACCAGCCACACUGGAACUGAGCCACGGUCCGGACUCCUACGGGAGGCAGCAGUGGGGAAUUUUGGACAAUGGGCGCAAGCCUGAUCCAGCCAUGCAGCGUGCGGGAAGAAGGCCUUCGGGUUGUAAACCGCUUUUGUCAGGGAAGAAAAGACUCCUGUUAAUACCGGGGGUUCAUGACGGUACCUGAAGAAUAAGCACCGGCUAACUACGUGCCAGCAGCCGCAGUAA